rnacentral:misc_RNA from 1 species
GGACUACAAGGGUAUCUAAUCCUGUUUGCUCCCCACGCUUUCGCAUCUGAGCGUCAGUCUUUGUCCAGGGGGCCGCCUUCGCCACUGGUAUUCCUUCAGAUCUCUACGCAUUUCACCGCUACACCUGAAAUUCUACCCCCCUCUACAAGACUCUAGCCUGCCAGUUUCAAAUGCAAUUCCGAGGUUAAGCCCCGGGCUUUCACAUCUGACUUAACAGGCCGCCUGCAUGCGCUUUACGCCCAGUAAUUCCGAUUAACGCUCGCACCCUCCGUAUUACCGCGGCUGCUGGCACGGAGUUAGCCGGUGCUUCUUCUGUAGGUAACGUCAAAUAAUGCAGGUGUUAACUACACUACCUUCCUCCCUACUGAAAGUGCUUUACAACCCGAAGGCCUUCUUCACA